UGGAGACAGGUGCUGCAUGGCUGUCGUCAGCUCGUGUCGUGAGAUGUUGGUUAAGUCCCGCAACGAGCGCAACCCCUAUCUUUAGUUGCCAUCAUUGAGUUGGGCACUCUAAAGAGACUGCCGGUGUCAAACCGGAGGAAGGUGGGGAUGACGUCAAGUCCUCAUGGCCUUUAUGACCAGGGCUACACACGUACUACAAUGGCCGGUACAAAGGGCAGCGACACAGCGAUGUGAAGCGAAUCCCGAAAAGCCGGUCUCAGUCCGGAUUGGAGUCUGCAACUCGACUCCAUGAAGUUGGAAUCGCUAGUAAUCGCGGAUCAGCACGCCGCGGUGAAUACGUUCCCGGGCCUU
rnacentral:rRNA from 1 species